UGCUGGACAGCUCAGUCGGUAGAGCGUGUGGCUCUUCAUCUUAGGGUUGUGGGUUCGAGUCCCACAUUGGGCAA